GUCUUUUUUUUAUUUUUAUAUUUUUAUGUUAUUUUUGUAAAAUGUUUUAGUUUUUUUAUCAUUUGAAGAGACAAUUAAAAUUUGGUUUUUGAACUGGAUUAGUACCCAGGUAAUCAAAAUUAAUUAAUUCGGGAGUAAAGUUUUAUUUAAACCGAAAAAAUAUUGACUGACUUUGGAUUUUUCUUUGGAAUAUGCGUAUGGAGAGCCCUCCUUUUUAGUUAACUCUAUCGGCACAUGUAUGAUUGUUUAGUUUUUAUUUUAUUUGUAAUGCUUUUAUGUUUUGUCAUUUAAAACAGAUAUAUAUUUGGCUUAUGGGUUUGUGAUCGUGUGUUACUAUUAUUAAUUUUUUUUGGAUUAUUUUUUUAUUUUUUUUUGAAAUUGGAAAAGAAAGUAAUUUUUUUUUUAUAUUUUAAUGAAUUUAAUAAACAAG
rnacentral:rRNA from 1 species